rnacentral:tRNA from 1 species
AGUUAAUUAGCUUUACCAAGUAUAUAUUUUGAAAAUAUAUGAAAGGGUUUGUUAAUCCUAUUAACUU